AUAUAUUAUAUAUAUUAUCGAUAUAUUAUAUUUAGUAUAUAGGAGCAAAUCAUCCAUACUUACUUUGCUUGACGUCAUUCUUGUAAACUGUAUAUCAUGAGAUUAAAAAUAAAUACUCGGAAAAGUAUUCACUGUCAAAUAAUUGCAAUUUGAUUUAUUCCAGAUUUACGACAUUUCUUCUCGUUGAUUUCACAUCAAAACAAUGCAGACUAUUUUUACAAUCCAAAUUUAUUCUAAAUUGGAAUUCUUUUAUCAGGAUAAAAAUAUGUUUCGCAAGUAUGACACACUUAGAUGCAAAUAAAAAUCGAUGUCGACCUAUGUUGAGUAUCAAUGAUUAACAAUUCAUUUAACAAAAACUGUACGAGAAAUAAAACGGAAAUUUCUAUCAAUGACGUAUCACGAAGAUUUAAUGUUUUGGCAAAAAGCCCGAUUCGCAUUUACCUUUCCAGAUGUCAUGGAAUUUUCGACAUUUUAUUUAUUUUUUAUUUUAUUCAUUCAACAAUUGAAUGCUUUAUAAAAUUUAGCUAAUUCAUCUCUAUCAAUUUUUCUUUCGUUGCAAAAUAAGCAAAUCGAUAAAUUUUGAUUAUACUGUAGUAUAAUUAAAAAAAAGAGAGAAAGAGGAAGGAAAAAUGGGAUAUAUCUAGGUAUACAUAUAUGUAUUUUCUUGUAUCUGUAUUGAAAACUAUUCAAUCGAAAAUUGAAAGAAGUUACAACAGUUCAUAACUGUCUUAAGCAGCGUUUAUUUCGUUUCUUAUUAAUCAAGUCAGAGCAAUUCUUUAAAAAAUGAGUUUCUCAUUUUUUUUGACUUGUGACAAAAACGCGUUACAAUCACGCUUAUGUAUCGGAAAUUACCAAGGGUUUUCCGACGUAACGUAAUUACACAAUUCUGUGCCCCGUUAUAAUAUAUACGCGUAUUAUCGAUUGUAUUCCAUGUAUAUCACCGUGUGUAUAGCAUUUACAUGUCGAAUCAUUGUAAAUGCUCGAAUCGUACCAUUUAUAUAUAU